AAGCGAUUCGAUGAAAUUUUAUAGGAGUUAUCUACCUUUACAAAAUAAAUUUGUCGGUAUAUGUUUUCAACUCAUCAACUAUUAACCAUAUAACCCUGGAAUGUUUUUAUUUUCGGCCCCUAGGUCCUAACUUAGAAAAUGAGGUCAAGGUCAAAUGUCAAGGUCAAGUUCUAAAUUUUGACUUUUCCUUGUUUUGAGAUUUUCUCCGACACUUUUUAAGAUAUACAUUAAAGAACAAGUGCAAAAUGUUUGCUUUAUUGUAAUGAAGAUAUGUUACAUUUGGUCUGAUACAAUUAAAUGGCAUCUUAUAGGAGUUAGUGCCCCUGAACUGUCUUAAUAUAAGGUUAUUUUUGAUAUAACUUCAACUAAGUUCAUUAUAAAGCCAUAUGACCUUGUACAAAAGGUUAGGUGACAUAUGACCUUGAAAAAUGACAACCGGAAGUGACCUUGAGAAAACCGGAAGUACAUAUUUUUUGCACUUUUUUCAUGUAAAAGUACUCGGAAUCCAUAUAUUUUGUAAUAAAGAUACAUAAACGUAUCCUUCAAGACUAGAAAUAACUUGCGAUAAACCGGAAGUAGCCAAUUAUCUUACGUUGUACACAAACAAGUAUAUACAAACUAUAUAUUUUUGGAAUCAGAGUGAAGUAAGCUAUCAUUUGAGACUGGAAGUAGCACAUUAUCUCCUUUAGUUCACUUUAAAGCAUAUCAAAACUAAUAGUUAUAGUAUCAGCUUGAGAA
rnacentral:lncRNA from 1 species